rnacentral:rRNA from 1 species
UGGCUAACUCCUACGGGAGGCAGCAGUGGGGAAUUUUGGACAAUGGGCGCAAGCCUGAUCCAGCCAUGCCGCGUGCGGGAAGAAGGCCUUCGGGUUGUAAACCGCUUUUGUCGGGGAAGAAAUCUUCUGGAUUAAUACUCUGGGAGGAUGACGGUACCCGAAGAAUAAGCACCGGCUAACUACGUGCCAGCAGCCGCGGUAAUACGUAGGGUGCAAGCGUUAAUCGGAAUUACUGGGCGUAAAGCGUGCGCAGGCGGCCAUGUAAGACAGAUGUGAAAUCCCCGGGCUUAACCUGGGAACUGCAUUUGUGACUGCAUGGCUCGAGUACGGCAGAGGGGGAUGGAAUUCCGCGUGUAGCAGUGAAAUGCGUAGAUAUGCGGAGGAACACCGAUGGCGAAGGCAAUCCCCUGGGCCUGUACUGACGCUCAUGCACGAAAGCGUGGGGAGCAAACAGGAUUAGAAACCCGGGUAGUCCAGCUGG